rnacentral:rRNA from 1 species
AACGAACGCUGGCGGCAGGCUUAACACAUGCAAGUCGAGCGCCCCGCAAGGGGAGCGGCAGACGGGUGAGUAACGCGUGGGAACGUACCCUUUGCUACGGAAUAGCUCCGGGAAACUGGAAUUAAUACCGUAUGUGCCCUACGGGGGAAAGAUUUAUCGGCAAAGGAUCGGCCCGCGUUGGAUUAGCUAGUUGGUGGGGUAAUGGCCUACCAAGGCGACGAUCCAUAGCUGGUCUGAGAGGAUGAUCAGCCACAUUGGGACUGAGACACGGCCCAAACUCCUACGGGAGGCAGCAGUGGGGAAUAUUGGACAAUGGGCGCAAGCCUGAUCCAGCCAUGCCGCGUGAGUGAUGAAGGCCUUAGGGUUGUAAAGCUCUCACCGGAGAAGAUAAUGACGGUAUCCGGAGAAGAAGCCCCGGCUAACUUCGUGCCAGCCGCCGCCGUAAUAC